rnacentral:ncRNA from 1 species
GGGUAUAACCUAUUUUAUAGCCGAUACCCUUUCUUUUGAUGCCCUUGCACGGACGCUUCUUGCAUGGCGGGCGUAUGUGCCUAUUCCCGUUUCAUGUGUCAGGGCAAAGCAGAUUAGACGGCACCCUACAAUUUAUCUGUACGAAAGGCGAAUACUUUUAUUAUGAACA